GGAGGAAUUGUGGCAGGACAAAGCUCUGCCCCGCUCGCACAGGACAAAGCGCUGCAGUACUAUUUUUAUGAGAUCAUAAAAUAGUCGCGUUCGCCUGGAAUUCUCAAGGACUGCUGCAAUUAUAACGGCAUCGCUUGAAAGCAUCACGCACUGCUGUGACUCUGGUAGAUGGGCUUUGACUAAAUAGCUGAAAAAAUGCCACUCUUGAUCUCUGCUGCACUGGUAUAAAUCCAAUUCAAUUCCAGCGAUGCAAAUUGACUUGUGGCUUAUUUACUCCAAAUAACGGAGAUGUCUAUUUGACCUACAUGUGAGAUGUUUGAAAUAAGGAAUGACAUCUGUAUGCAAAAUAUUUUGAGGAGCACUGCAGCUGCUGCCACAGCCCUGGCACGGCCGGUGACAGCCCUUGUCACGUCACUCUGAGAUGAAGGGACCC
rnacentral:lncRNA from 1 species